UAGGGAAUCUUCCGCAAUGGGCGAAAGCCUGACGGAGCAACGCCGCGUGAGUGAUGAAGGUCUUCGGAUCGUAAAACUCUGUUAUUAGGGAAGAACAAAUGUGUAAGUAACUAUGCACGUCUUGACGGUACCUAAUCAGAAAGCCACGGCUAACUACGUGCCAGCAGCCGCGGUAAUACGUAGGUGGCAAGCGUUAUCCGGAAUUAUUGGGCGUAAAGCGAGCGUAGGCGGUUUUUUAAGUCUGAUGUGAAAGCCCACGGCUCAACCGUGGAGGGUCAUUGGAAGCUGGAAAACUUGAGUGCAGAAGAGGAAAGUGGAAUUCCAUGUGUAGCGGUGAAAUGCGCAGAGAUAUGGAGGAACACCAGUGGCGAAGGCGACUUUCUGGUCUGUAACUGACGCUGAUGUGCGAAAGCGUGGGGAUCAAACAGG
rnacentral:rRNA from 1 species